rnacentral:rRNA from 1 species
GAGCGAACAGACGAGGAGCUUGCUCCUCUGACGUUAGCGGCGGACGGGUGAGUAACACGUGGAUAACCUACCUAUAAGACUGGGAUAACUUCGGGAAACCGGAGCUAAUACCGGAUAAUAUAUUGAACCGCAUGGUUCAAUAGUGAAAGACGGUUUUGCUGUCACUUAUAGAUGGAUCCGCGCCGCAUUAGCUAGUUGGUAAGGUAACGGCUUACCAAGGCAACGAUGCGUAGCCGACCUGAGAGGGUGAUCGGCCACACUGGAACUGAGACACGGUCCAGACUCCUACGGGAGGCAGCAGUAGGGAAUCUUCCGCAAUGGGCGAAAGCCUGACGGAGCAACGCCGCGUGAGUGAUGAAGGUCUUCGGAUCGUAAAACUCUGUUAUUAGGGAAGAACAAAUGUGUAAGUAACUAUGCACGUCUUGACGGUACCUAAUCAGAAAGCCACGGCUAACUACGUGCCAGCAGCCGCGGUAAUACGUAGGUGGCAAGCGUUAUCCGGAAUUAUUGGGCGUAAAGCGCGCGUAGGCGGUUUUUUAAGUCUGAUGUGAAAGCCCACGGCUCAACCGUGGAGGGUCAUUGGAAACUGGAAAACUUGAGUGCAGAAGAGGAAAGUGGAAUUCCAUGUGUAGCGGUGAAAUGCGCAGAGAUAUGGAGGAACACCAGUGGCGAAGGCGACUUUCUGGUCUGUAACUGACGCUGAUGUGCGAAAGCGUGGGGAUCAAACAGGAUUAGAUACCCUGGUAGUCCACGCCGUAAACGAUGAGUGCUAAGUGUUAGGGGGUUUCCGCCCCUUAGUGCUGCAGCUAACGCAUUAAGCACUCCGCCUGGGGAGUACGACCGCAAGGUUGAAACUCAAAGGAAUUGACGGGGACCCGCACAAGCGGUGGAGCAUGUGGUUUAAUUCGAAGCAACGCGAAGAACCUUACCAAAUCUUGACAUCCUCUGACCCCUCUAGAGAUAGAGUUUUCCCCUUCGGGGGACAGAGUGACAGGUGGUGCAUGGUUGUCGUCAGCUCGUGUCGUGAGAUGUUGGGUUAAGUCCCGCAACGAGCGCAACCCUUAAGCUUAGUUGCCAUCAUUAAGUUGGGCACUCUAAGUUGACUGCCGGUGACAAACCGGAGGAAGGUGGGGAUGACGUCAAAUCAUCAUGCCCCUUAUGAUUUGGGCUAC